rnacentral:rRNA from 1 species
CAGUAGCCGCGGUAAUACGAAGGGGGCUAGCGUUGUUCGGAUUUACUGGGCGUAAAGCGCACGUAGGCGGACGCUUAAGUCAGGGGUGAAAUCCCGAGGCUCAACCUCGGAACUGCCUUUGAUACUGGGUGUCUUGAGUCCGGGAGAGGUGAGUGGAACUGCGAGUGUAGAGGUGAAAUUCGUAGAUAUUCGCAAGAACACCAGUGGCGAAGGCGGCUCACUGGCCCGGAACUGACGCUGAGGUGCGAAAGCGUGGGGAGCAAACAGGAUUAGAUACCCCGGUAGUCCCUGUCUCUUAUAA